rnacentral:sRNA from 1 species
GUCCUCGGAACUGCAGUCAUCUCGGGCUAAAGACCAGGUCUUUUGAAAACCAGGUAGACUGAUAUUCUGGGCCUGUCAGCUGAACACUGGAUGCCCCACUGAAAGAGAGGAACCUUGGGCAGCCAACAACAGUCUCUCUCAUUUCUACAAUUUUGGAAGCUGCUUGCUCUACACUUCCUACAUACUCAGGGAAGACUGUGUAAUGGCUAUUCCACCCAGUGACUGGCUAAGUACCAAGUCAGAAGAUGGUAAUAAAAUGAACUCACUGAUCCAAGCCCCAGGCUGCCCACUCCAGGUCGGUGUUAUCAACCUGACUACAUAUGGAAUGAACUAGAAUUGGAGGGCUCACCGGUGAUCCAGAUCUUGAAGCUGGAAGACACAAAUUUCUGACCUGGAACUUGGCAUGGAGUUCUUGAGGCAUAGUGGCCAUGAAAAGCCUAGGCUCAGGCAAGGUAGUGCACAGCUUUAAUCCCAGGAAACUGAG